rnacentral:rRNA from 1 species
AACGAACGCUGGCGGCGCGCUUAACACAUGCAAGUCGAACGAGAAGGCGUAGCAAUACGCUUGUACAGUGGCGAACGGGUGAGGAAUACAUGGGUAACCUACCCUCGAGUGGGGGAUAACCCGCCGAAAGGCGGGCUAAUACCGCGUACGCUUCCGAUCUUGCGGGAUCGGAAGGAAAGCUGUCCCUUGGGGAUGGCGCUCAAGGAUGGGCUCAUGUCCUAUCAGCUUGUUGGAGGUAACGGCCUACCAAGGCAUCGACGGGUAGCUGGUCUGAGAGGACGAUCAGCCACACUGGCACUGCGACACGGGCCAGACUCCUACGGGAGGCAGCAGUGAGGAAUAUUGCGCAAUGGGCGAAAGCCUGACGCAGCGACGCCGCGUGGGGGAUGAA